rnacentral:rRNA from 1 species
AAUAUUGCACAAUGGGCGCAAGCCUGAUGCAGCCAUGCCGCGUGUAUGAAGAAGGCCUUCGGGUUGUAAAGUACUUUCAGCAGUGAGGAAGGUGGAUAUGUUAAUAGCAUAUUCAUUUGACGUUAGCUGCAGAAGAAGCACCGGCUAACUCCGUGCCAGCAGCCGCGGUAAUACGGAGGGUGCGAGCGUUAAUCGGAAUUACUGGGCGUAAAGCGCAUGCAGGUGGUUUGUUAAGUCAGAUGUGAAAGCCCGGGGCUCAACCUCGGAAUUGCAUUUUGAAACUGGCAAACUAGAGUACUGUAGAGGGGGUAGAAUUUCAGGUGUAGCGGUGAAAUGCGUAGAGAUCUGAAGGAAUACCGGUGGCGAAGGCGGCCCCCUGGACAGAUACUGACACUCAGAUGCGAAAGCGUGGGGAGCAAACAGGAUUAGAUACCCUGGUAG